rnacentral:rRNA from 1 species
UACAGAGGUCUCAAGCGUUGUUCGGAUUCAUUGGGCGUAAAGGGUGCGUAGGCGGCGCGGUAAGUCGGGGUGUGAAAUCUCGGGGCUUAACUCCGAAACCGCAUUCGAUACUGCCGUGCUUGAGGACUGGAGAGGAGACUGGGAAUUCAUGGUGUAGCAGUGAAUGCGUAGAGAUCAUGAGGAAGACCAGUGGCGAAGGCGGGGUCGUCUGGGACAGUUCCUGACACUGAGGCACGAAGGCCAGGGGAGCAA